GUCUCGGCGGGGCCGCGGGGCCAUGGCCGAGAGCAGGAGGGAAGUGUUCUUGGCAAAAUUACUGAAACGACUCUAUGGUGAAACUUCAUCAUCUUCUCCUGUGCAUACUUCAAAUAGAGAAGAGGAGGCGGUUCUUGGAAAUCUGGGAUCAAAAUCCAAAGAAAAGAAUUUGAGUAAUGUUCAGACUUCAUCAGCAGAUGCUAGCACAUCAACUGAUAUACCCUGCAAAUCAUUUCAAGGUAGUGAUGAUGCAGUUGUGUUUCCAAGAAGAGUUUACAAAGUGGAUCUGCCUCCAGAGGGUUAUGUUGCAGCUACUCCAGAUGCUAUUAGUAGUGCAGUUUCAGAAAACUCAGGCAGUAGUGCUGACUCAACAGAAGAGGAAUAUCAAGGGCAAACCAAGAGAAAGUGCGUUCGAAGGAAGAAACAAAAGAGCAGUUUGCAAAUCUCUAAUAAUUUACAUGGAGAACAAACAGAUUGUGGAAUGCAAGAGACUCUUGUUCAAGAUAAUUUACAGCUGCAGCAGACAGACAGUCCCAAAAUAAGCAGAAACAAAAAGAGGAAAAUGAAAAAGAAGCGACAGAAAGAAAAAAAGAGAGCAGCUGGCUUGGUAACAAAAACUACCAGUGUGGAUUUUACAUAUCAACCUGACAAAAACAACAGAGAAGAAGCAGCAGGCUUAAAAGACAUAGAUGAAAAGGCAGAUAGCAUUCUGGACUUCCUGCAGGCAACACAACAAAUUUAUUUUGCUGACAAGAAAUCAGAAUGCACAGAUACUGCUGUAAAUUCAGCAACUGCCCAAGAGCUCUUACAAUUUCUUGAAUCUCGCACCAUCUCUUCCUCAGAUGUGACUCAUCUACAUCGAUUGAAAUCCCUUGUAUUGCUACAGGAUAUUGAGAGAUUGAAGGAUGCUUUGAAACAAUUCCAAGAACAAUCCACGAUGCUUCCUGAUCAUACUAAGGUAGCCACGUCUCUGUUUCAUUACUGGAUUACAGAUAUCCUUCCCGUGAAGAACAGGAAAUAAAGCCUUACCUGCAUCUGUAUGCACAGGGUUACAGUUUAAUAUACAAACUCAUAACCAAAGUAGCAAUUGUUCAGGAAGAGCAGUAUCAAUACACACUCUACAGCUUCAGGGCUCCUUCAACAUAGCAAUGAAACAUGGAUCCUUUUGGAUUUUCAUGCUAAGCUUAUAAAUGGCAAAGGAGAUUGCCUUGAAUUUUUUUCUACUUCAGCAUCAUUUGGUUUAAUGGAUGUACAGCAACAUGGAAUUUCUGAGGCAUGGAAGAGCUUUUUAAAUGGACUUUGCAUCAGAAAACUUCAGACUAUUUAAAACUUCUGGGAAGACAGAACUUCAAAAUUUUGUUUUGAAAACCUACAUAGACUCCAAGAACAGGAAGAAUUUAAGGAUCAACUGGAAAGUAACCUGCAUGUGUCAAGAGUAAACUUUGUAGUUUGCAUAAUUGAGCACUGCACAGUAAGUAAGGAGCAGCAGCACAGUGAGAGAGAAAUCGUGCUCUGAAUAGGUGGUGGUCCCUUACCAGAGUGUACAAGGAAGGCCAUAGAGGCUGAAGUAAUUUGUGGUAGUGAAUAGCUGGUCACUACACUUGUAUGCAAGGCUAUGAGUUCAAAGCCAUUAUCUCUAUAUAUAGGUACAUGUUUUAUUCUUAAAAUUGCCUGUAAGACCUUAAUUUUUCUCUUUUGUGGAUAUGUAAUGUGGGAAUCAGUCUCUAAUGUUACAGAUUUUUUACUGCUUUGUAAGUGGUGCAAUAUUUUAUAUAGUGCUUUACAAUCACGUAGAGUUAAAUUCCUUAAUAUGUUUUCUAUGACAGCUGAGUUUUCUCUCCUGCACCACUGCUCAAUAGGCUGAAUCUCUGAAAUGACAUCUGGGGAAAAAAAUAAAAGAAAAAAACCAGACAAGGAAGGAAAAAAAGUGGUGAAUGGCAGCAUAAAAGCAAAAGAUUUUAAGCUGUCUUUGACCAAAGAAAACAGAUGUUGUCCAGUAAUACCAGGUAUAUCAUAAAACCAGUCCACAGAUGAAGAGUGAAAAGUGGUGUGUGUUAUACAGUAUGCUACACAUUAAGAAUAAUAACAAAGAGUGGUAGUGAAAACGACAGCAAACUGCAUGAUUGGGAAAAUGUAUUACAUUUAAUAUUUAGGCAAACCUCAGGUUAUAGCUAUGCAGGCUUCAUAAUUAAUUGCUUCAGCCCUAGAUUGCACCCAAGGAGGGCUGCAUUGCACGUGUUUAUGCAGCUAAUUAAGCUUCACUGUUUACUACUCUAUCCUCUGCAUUGCAUAUAAGUAAACUUCUAUUUAUUGUUUUCAGCUGUUAGAUAUAUGCUGAACUAAGGGGACAGGAGCACAUACAUAUUAAAAAAAACCAGAAGUUUACAGAUGCUGUAUUUUUUUCCCUGUAAGGAUAUAGGAAAAAGCUAUAUAUUCUGUGAUUAGCUAUAUAUUCUGUGAUUGUUUGAAAACACUGCAUAUGCACCACAGUCACUGAAGGUCAAAUAUAUAGCUUUAAUAAGGAUGUUCUUCAAGUUGAAUGCUUACUUUGUAGAAUUAAUAGUCUGUAGUCAUUUUAAUGAACUGCAUACUCUUGUAAAAUGUAUAAGCAAACUGUAGUUCUCUUUUACAUUAUUACUGUAAAAUUACAUCCUGGUUUAGGAUUUAUAAUGAAAAAAAAGUGUUAUCUAAGAUUGAAGAGAACUGCACAAAGAGAAGCAACAAAGCUGUGGUUCAAUACCUACUUUUCUUUUGCAUCAACUCUAGGGUGCUAUAGGUUGCAUAAAGGUAGAGGCUGCUUCUCUUCCCUUUCAAGAUCUUUGCCAGUCUUCUCAGUCCCUCAUUCAGCACACAGAUGAUUCCUCCAACCCUGUCAGCCUCUGGUAUUAGCUUCCCUCACGCAUUUUCUUUAUCUUCAGGUUUACACAUUUGUGCUUUUUCCCCACAGCUCUCUACAGAACAGUCUUUCUGCUGUCUUCCUUUCCUUCUUUGAAGCUCUUCUUUAUUGUGAUGCUGCCCAAAAGCUUGGCCAGUAUGCUAGGACCACUGCCUACUGUGCUGACUAAUGUUGCCUUAUUGUCUGUGUACUCCCACAUCAAUCUGCCUGUUUUCUCCCUGUUUUCUCCUUUCCUAAGCAAGUAUAAGUUUCAUGCAGGAUUUGCCCUGCUGCACAGCACCCAGCACAACAAGUUCCUGUUACAUCUGAGGUGACAGUCUGCUGGGGAAAUGGAGUAGACUUAACUACAAUUGAGACCAUGCUUGAAAAUGUAGGAAAGACUGCUGAUAGUUUAAAAUAGCUUCAUAAUCUUACACUGUACACAUGAUCAGUCUGGUAAAACAGGGACUUGAUUCUCCCUGGCCGUCACUUUGGAACCAGUGCUCUUCUGCAGGUUGCUAAGGAGAGCUUGGAGGCAUGCAGGGUGGAAUUCAUUUUUCCUUGAUUUCAGAUGUCUAUAGUGUUAAUGUUUCCAUCUGAGCUGCCUAUCCUAAAGAACUUUCUGAUCACUGGGAUUAAAUAGAUACUCGUAUAGGGCAAUAUAACUGAUUGCUGCUGGACAUCUGUUUUAGAAUAGGAAUAAGGGUACCAAUGGAAGCGCUUAGAUCUUCAUGUUGACUGUUUUGGGGGCAUAAACACAUAAGUCAGAUGGAAACAUCUGCAUUGCAGGCAUCUGGAUCCUGUUAAAAAAAAAGUUGAUUUGCUUCAUCUGAGAAAAGGACAGGAAUGUGCAUGUUGCAUGACCAAAACAUCGCCUGCUCUUGUUUCUGGUCUGGCAAUGACAAGCUCCUUCAGCUUGAACAGGGCUGUGACGCCCUCUUCUUGUUGCUUUCCUGUCUCCUCUUGGGAAGCGACUACCUGAAGAGUGAUAAAAGGGAGAAAAAGAAGAGUAUGGAGGUGUUGUGCAUCUGUGGCUGGAACUCACAUAAAACAAACUGAGGGGAUGCUUCUUCUCUUCCUCAUCUUCCCUUCAUGUGAUCAUGCACAAAGCAGCCUCCACCACUUCUCAGGUAGACUCAGUAAAAGCUUGCUGUGUGAUUUAUUCCUCCUCCCAAUGACAAUAAUCAAGUGGAAGUGAAUAUAAAUGCACAAAGAAGGAGUAACCAUUGCUAGGAAUAUCAAACUGAUCAGCUAUUACCUGUGUUCUAGAGAGGGAAUCAAUAGCAAAUAUAUUUCUUUUCAGAGUCACAGGACUAAUCACUAAACCCUGUAGACACAAUGAUGGCUGUGUGAUCUCUGUCUGUCAUGAGGGAACUUAAAAUGAAGGUCAUGUUCCAAUCUGAUUGGAAUUCAGGGAAAGCAGCUUGGCUUAUGACUGUAGUGCUGGAUUCCAUUUACAUUGGUAAACAGUUUAAAAUACCUGACAUGUUAUUCAAUUAAAUGUGUGAUGCAAACUGACAGACCAAAGUCCAUUGAUUUUCUCCAACCACAUUAAGCUAAGUACAUGGCACAGUGUUUCAUUAGCCUGUCUGCUUAACCCUUUCACCUUAAUUCAAUUAUCCAGAAUAAAAUUAAUGUGUAAAAUAUUAAAUAACUCUAAAUUUCUAAAUUAGAAGACAUUGCAAGAAUAUAUUCAUCUCAAUAGUUUCUUGCACAUAUUUAUUACUUUAUGAUUUACAGUCUGCUACAGAGCACAUUGUUAUCCAGAUGGCAAAAGUCAGUCAGUUUUUCUUUAUACUCAUUCAAUAGAUUGAUAGAUUCAUAAAGGGUAAAACUGAAAAGGACAUGAGAUUAUCUUUUCUGACCCCAUCUAGAUCCCUGGUCAUAAGUUUUCCCUUUACUUUAAUCUGACAGAAGCACAGUUUGUGGUUUUUGCUAAAGCAAGUUAUCUGCAGAGACAGGCGAGCUUGAUUUAAAGAUAUCAAGAAAUGAAGACUUAGCCCCUUCUCUGGUCAUUUAUUCCAAUAUUCAGUCACUUUCACACUUAAAAUCAUGUGCCUUAUUUUAAAUUUGAAUUUGUCUAGAUUUAACUUUCAGACAUUAGUUCUUCAUAUGCUUUUCUUCACUAGAUUAAGUAGUCCCUUGCUACCCACUGUUCUCUGUCUGCAAAAGUUUUUGAACACUGUAAUCAAGCUACAGGGCAACCUUUUUGCUACCCUAAUAUUAUCCCUUUAAAUUAUUUUAUUUAAGGUAUUUCCUACAGCCCUCAUCUUGGUUUUAUGGCUCUCUCAUACAUUUUCUCCAUUUUGUCCCACCAUUUAGAAAACAAGUGUACAAGACCUGAGCACAGAACUUCAUUUAAAAUCUCAUCAGUGCCAUCUUUUGCACUCAAUGUUUCAUUAGGUUUGGAUCAACUUCUUGCCAUAGUAUUGUACAGGAAGUCCAUGUUGAAUUAUUUUUCAUGGUAGACAAGUACACUUGAAAUUUAUUGCUUUCCAGUAUUUAGUCCUUGGUUCUAUACUUUGUGUUCAUAAAUAUCUGUCUUUCUGUUUGGCUGUAUUAACUUUAAUUUUUUUUUACUAUGUAUAGAUUAAUAAAUGAUGGAUUGUUUUGUGUGCAUGUACUACUUGCAUUAGUAUUGACUGUCUGUUAAUCUCGGUGACAUCUGCAAAUUUUACCGACAGUGAUUCCAUGUUUGCUUCCAGAUUGUCAGUAAAAAUGCUGAAUGGUGUCAAGCUCUAGUACUAAUCUUUAUGGGAUUAAAAGAGGAAUAAUAUUACUCAGUCAUGAUUCCCUGUUUGUACCUUCUUUUUGAAAACAGAAAGCUGAGAUCAUCUAGUGGAUUUCUAAUUUAUUUAAGGUGUAUUUGUUGCAUUAUAUGCUCUUUUUGUUUUGAUCAGAAAGUCACGUGACACUAAGGGUAAUGGUUGUCAACAAGUAUUUCUUCAGUUUUCUACAAGAACAAGCUUUAAUACUUUUUAGAUAAGAGUAAGAUUCCAAACUAAAGACACUAUAAAAAAACUGUAAAAUUGUGUUUUAAAGUGUGUUUAAGGGGAAGCAGAACAAUUGAAAUGCAUUUAAAGUAAAUAGCCUGUAUUCAAAGUAAAUAGCCUCUCAAAUUUCUCUUACAUGUUUUCAAUUUGUUGCUCUGUGGGGGAUUA